UAUUGGGCGUAGGCGCUCGCACGCGGUCUCUUAGGUCUGAUGUGAAAGCCCACGGCUCAACCGUGGAGGGUCAUUGGAAACUGGGGGACUUGAGUGCAGAAGAGGAGAGUGGAAUUCCACGUGUAGCGGUGAAAUGCGUAGAGAUGUGGAGGAACACCAGUGGCGAAGGCGACUCUCUGGUCUGUAACUGACGCUGAGGCGCGAAAGCGUGGGGAGCGAACAGGAUUAGAUACCCUGGUAGUCCACGCCGUAAACGAUGAGUGCUAAGUGUUAGGGGGUUUCCGCCCUUUAGUGCUGAAGUUAACGCAUUAAGCACUCCGCCUGGGGAGUACGGCCGCAAGGCUGAAACUCAAAGGAAUUGACGGGGGCCCGCACAAGCGGUGGAGCAUGUGGUUUAAUUCGAAGCAACGCGAAGAACCUUACCAGGUCUUGACAUCCUCUGAUAACUCUAGAGAUAGGGCUUCCCCUUCGGGGACAGAGUGACAGGUGGUGCAUGGUUGUCGUCAGCUCGUGUCGUGAGAUGUUGGGUUAAGUCCCGCAACGAGCGCAACCCUUGAUCUUAGUUGCCAGCAUUCAGUUGGGCACUCUAAGGUGACUGCCGGUGACAAACCGGAGGAAGGUGGGGAUGACGUCAAAUCAUCAUGCCCCUUAUGACCUGGGCUACACACGUGCUACAAUGGACGGAACAAAGGGCAGCGAAACCGCGAGGUCAAGCCAAUCCCAUAAAACCGUUCUCAGUUCGGAUUGUAGGCUGCAACUCGCCUACAUGAAGCUGGAAUCGCUAGUAUCGCGGAUCAGCAUGCGCGGUGAAUACGUUUCCCGGGCCUGUACACACCGCCCGUCACACCACGAGAGUGGUACACCCGAGUCGUGGAGGUAACAUUUGGAGCAGCCGCCGAAGGUGGGACAAUGAUUGGGGUGAAGUCUAACAAGGUAGC
rnacentral:rRNA from 1 species